CUACAUCUCAAAAUGUCAAGGACAACCUUGAUUUUCUCUCUGUGUGUGUGUUUGUGGCGGGGGAGAUAUGAGCUGCAACCUGGUCUGCAGUCUGAAGAGGUACUGCUCUUCCCCACUUACUCGCAGCUUAUUUGUUUACAGAAUUUAUACCCCACCCUUACGCCAAAAAGGCUGUCCGAGUGGCUUAUACACAACUCCGCUUCCCUCAGUCAGGGCUGGAUCUAGAUGGAGAGAGGUCCUAGGCUACUGCACUUGUGAGGGGCAACCCCAAUCCCCCACGCUCACGACUAGAAGAAAAUGGAAGAGUGUUAUAAACAAAAUUGAGUGAAGCCAAGGAUGAUGACAGGUAUUUAAAAUUUUGCAAUUUACUUUUUUCUCCUCUAGAGGACAUAAGAUGUUCUUGUUAAAUACCAUGGUGAUUUAAAAUAAAUAAAUGCAUAAAUGUUAAAAUUAACACUGAAAAACUUCUGCUGUAACUGAACUUUGUAAACCUUUUGUGGAAUCAGCAUUACUUUUUAGGAAAAUGAAGUUGUAAUGUUAUUAUUUUGAAAAACAACAACAUUGAGUUUACAAAUUAUAUUGCCUGAGAAGUGUAAAUAAUAUGAUCAUGAUUGCUUGACAGUGCGGCACUUUUAGAUUCUACUUUAGGUUCUCAUUAAACAGUCAGUUUUAAAAUACAUAUUUUAAACUACAACCAUCAAAUACAGUAAGACUAUAAAUAUUUUUUUCUCGCCUUCCUCAUAGCAAAAUCAUCCAAAACUUCGUCAAAAGUUCUUUGUCUAAGUUUGUCACUUUCAAUGUACAGAAUGCUCAGUGCGGACCUCUCUUGAGACAUGGUGGCUGUUAAUUCAUUUUAAAUUCUUUUGAGUCUUGAAAAUCUCCUCUCUCCCAAGCAGUUAGCGACCAUAAAGCUAAGAAAUAGCCACAAGAUUGCUUCCACAUUAGGAAAGGCCAUCUGAAUUUUUUUGUUGUAUAUAAUUUGAUAAAGGUCUGUAUGAGACAGAGAGUGCUCUGCUGUAAGCCUAUAGGUGAAAGCGCAAAAGUUCACUGAGGGUCUUGAGAGCGGCUUUUGCCAUUUGCCCUGCCAGUUUCCCCAGGACAAAUCCACUGCUUGUUUAUUUUAUUUAUUUACUGGAUUUAUAUGGAUUGCAACAAGAUGACCACUGAAGGAAGUCUGAUGAAAAAGUGUACACGGUGCACUGUUCUCAUAGCCUGGGGGGCUGAAAUUCUUUUUCAAAGACCUCCUCCACAGUUGCGUUUUCAUAAGCAGGAGGGGCUGUGAGGGGCUCCAGGCGUCCCACCUGCUCUUCAACACCUUUGAGUUCAUGGGUAUCCGAGACAAAUCGCUGCAGUUUUGGCGGUGUGAGUAACCUGAGUCGGAACCUCGACUGCAGAUCUGCCUUCGAAGCAGCCGUGUGCCUGGGGCCAGCGAGACACUGAAUGCCUUGACCACAGUCUCUCUAUGGGCUGGAGGCUCAAUGACCACGCUGCACGAGGGGGCUUCUGGACUGGAUGUGAUGGUCCAGAUCAUAGGUAGGCAAACUAAGACCUGGGGGCCAGAUGCGGUCCAACUGCCUUCUAAAUCUGGCCCGUGGACAGUCCAGGAAUCAGUGUGUUUUCACACGAGUAGAAUGUGUCCUUUUAUUUAAAAUGCAUCUCUGGGUUAUUUGUGGGGCUUGCCUGGUGUUUUUACAUGAGUAGAAUGUGUGUUUUUAUUUAGAAUGCAUCUCUGGGUUAUUUGUGGGACAUAGGAAUUCGUUCAUCCCCCCCCCCCCAUACACAGUCAUACCUCGGGUUGAAGAAGCUUCAGGAUAAGUAUUUUCGGAUUGCGUGUUGUGCUGACCCAGAAGUAACGGAGCGCAUUACUUCCGGGUUUUGCCGCUUGCGCAUGUGCAGGCGAUCAAAAUUACGUCAUGUGCAUGUGCAGAAUUGGCGAAUCGUGACCCGUGGACGCAGGUUACAUUCACUUCUGGAUGCGAAUGGGGCUCCAAAAUGGAUCCCGUCCACAUCCAGAGGUACCACUGUAGUCCGGCCCCCCCCACAAGGUCUGAGGGACAGUGGACUGGCCCCAUAGCUGUCAACUUUUCCCUUUUCUUGAGAGGAAUCCUAUUCGGAAUAAGGGAAUUUCCCUUAAAAAAAGGGAAAUGUUGAUAGCUAUGACUGGCCCCCUGCUGAAAAGGUUUGCUGACCUCUGGUCCAGAUAGUUGGUCCCAAUAAGUAACCUCAUAUGCUGGUGCCUCAUAGGCCUCAUUGUCUAUGCUGGUAAAAGAGAGGGGAAGUAGUUAAAAACACAAAUCACCAUAAUAGCUCCAUACUUCCACAAAGGAGGAUUAUCUGUGCUAUCAACAAACAAGGCACAAUACCUAUCAUAUUCAAGCAACGGGAUCAUCAAGUGCAUUCUGCUAUCUGGCCCCCACAAUCACAGGCCUCAUCUGCACCAUGCAUUUAAAACACUAUGAUACCAGAUGUGUGUGGGGUAUAGAUAAUAAAAUUAUUAUUAUUAUUAUUAUUAUUAUUAUUAUUAUUAUUAUUAAACAGUGAGAGCUUCCCCCAAAAGAAUUGUGGGAACUGUAGCUUGCCAUGAGAGCGGUCAGGGGACUCCUAAUCUGUUCACCAGAGCUACAGUUCCCAAUGUUCGCUGCGGAGGUGUGACUAUUGAACCUACUGUUGAAUUUGAUAGACUUUUAGGGUGCUUCCAGAUAGAAUCCCACCCCAAAAUAGGAACAAACACCUACAGUCAUACUUCGGGAUAAAUACGCUUCAGGUUGAGCGCUUUUGGGUUGCGCUCUGCAGCGACCCGGAAGUAACGUAGUGCGUUACUUCUGGGUUUCGCCGCUUGCGUAUGUACAGACGGUCAAAAUGAUGUCAUGCGCAUGCACGGAAACGGCGAAAUGCGACCAGCGCAUGCACGGACACAUUGUCGCGUCUUACGUUCUGUUCGGGAUGUGAACGGGGCUCCGGAAUGGAUCCCGUUCGCAUCCCAAGGUACCACUGUAUUGGAAAAUUCAAGCUGUGCAAUUGUAGUUGAUUGGUAGGUCUUGCGUAACAACCUUCUUCUCCAAAAGUCUGGACUUUCGGCGAUAAGUGAAGUGAUGGGAUAAUGCAGUGCUUUUUUUUCUUAAGAAAUGUUUAGGGGUACUCUCAUUUUGACUCAAUAAAAUCACCAUUUUAUAGUUCAAAUCCGGGAAAAUAAAUACAGUAAAUGGACAAAAGUACAAAGAUUCACAAAAUGUUUAGGAGUAUGCGUACCCCUGCGUACACCCAGAAAAAAGCACUGGGGUAAUGCAUUGUAAAGUGUGGUGCAAAUGCCAUCUAAUAUCUCUGCAAAUAUUGUCAGUAUCUUUUAACUCAGUUGAUGAAGAUCCCUUCACUCUUACCCCUGGCUUUCUUGGAGCUGGUUCAGAUGUAAUGCCAACCCAUGGUUUACAUUGCUUUUAACAACCAGCCACAAGCAGUUUUGUUAAUGUGAUCCUGCAGUCCUCCACUGGGAACAUUUCACAUAAUGCAUUAUUUGAUUCACUGACCCAAGAGGAGGUGGUAACUGGUAGCUCAGGAGGGCUUUGAAGACUUCAGGCCUAAGUCAAUGGAGAAUGGAUAAAUUAUAAGCUAUUUGCCAUUACAGUUAAACAGCUGAGAGGUAACAUGGUGUGUGCAUAUAAAUAAUAAAAUUAUUAUUAUUGAAUAGGAUGUCCCUAUUUUCAUCGAAGAAAUCCUUCUGAGGUGGGGAGGUGCAGGUAUUUGGGGCUUAUUCUUGGUUUUUUAUGUGAGAAGAUAAAAGAGUGUCGUUUUCUCUGCCAACUGUGGAGUUGGGUUGAGGGGAUCCAGAUUGGGAGGGUUUGGAAUAGGUAGGUUAGUUUUGGGAGUGUGAUCAUUUUGAUCAUGGCUAUUUUGUCUGAGAGAGUGAAAUUCAUGUUAUUCCAUCUCUUUAGGUCUUUGUUAAUUUGUCGCCACAGGGGCUUGUAGUUGUAGAGGUACAAUUUAUGGAGGUUUCUGGUUAUUUGUACCCCUAGGUAUCUGAACUUGGUGUGGCAAAGUUUUAUUUUGGUGACCUUCAUGAGUUCUUUUUGGGUGUGAGGAGGGGCGUUGAAGCACAUAGCUUCUGACUUUGUAAAAUUUACCUGUAGGCCUGACACCCUUGCUUGACUGUAUUCUCUUGAGCUUCAGAAAGAAAGAGUUCUGAAAGGGAAAAUCACUGAGGACAAUUUCAGAUAAAUAGCCAAAGCUUGUACAGAUUAUCAGCAGGGCUAAAGCUCACAAUGUGUGUAAGGCUUAUUAGAAGUGUUCAAAAUAACCAAAAGGAGGGUAGUUUUGUGUGUGUGUGUGUGUUUUGCUGUGUUCAGGAAAUGAUAGGUUCACGCUGUGAAGGACAGAGAAGUGUUAGCAGGUGACAGGGAGCAGACAGGAUUGCUUCAGUCUUCUCACACAAUGGAAACUGUGCUUGACCUCAUAAAAGCAGAUUAAGUGAUAAAUGGACAGAGUUGCAUCCCAAGAUAGGUGAAGAGGUGAUAAAGGAAGCCUUAGCCCAUUGAAACUAAUUCAAGUCUUCAGGGCCUGGUGAAUUGCACCCUAGGGUACUAAAGGAACUUGCACAUAUUAUGUCAGUGGUUAGUUACACUUUUUGGAAAAUCUUCAAGAACCACAACCCUGGAAGUGGGCAGAUGUUUAUUUUAUAAAUUUCUAUACCGCUUUAUAUUUUUAAGAAAAAUCUCAAAGUGGUUUACAGAAUAUUAAAUCAAUAAAACAUAAAUAAGACAGUCUGAAGAAAGUCAAAUGUAGAGAAUAAAGUCAAAGCAACAUAACAGAAAACUUAAAUAUUAUCUUAAAGAUUUCAAAAUAGAACAUUACAAAGGAGGUCAACUACAGAAUACAUAUUUAACAUUGUAGGGCUGGUGAGUGUGGGCCCAGCCCCCUAGGCCAGGUGGAAAGGGCCUUGCAGGGAGCGGCCUCCAUGCCCCACAGCCGGGUGAUGUUCCUCCGGCCUCAUGAGGAGCCUCUUCAGUGGGGCUGGUGAGUGUGGGCCCAGCCCCCUAGGCCAGGUGGAAAGGGCCUUGCAGGGAGCGGCCUCCAUGCCCCACAGCCGGGCGAUGUUCCUCCGGCCUCAUGAGGAGCCUCUUCAGUGGGGCUGGUGAGUGUGGGCCCAGCCCCCUAGGCCACGUGGAAAGGGCCUUGCAGGGAGCGGCCUCCACACCUCACAGCCGGGUAAUGUUCCUCCGGCCUCAUGAGGAGCCUCUUCAGUGGGGCUGGUGAGUGUGGGCCCAGCCCCCUAGGCCAGGUGGAAAGGGCCUUGCAGGGAGCGGCCUCCAUGCCCCACAGCCGGGCGAUGUUCCUCCGGCCUCAUGAGGAGCCUCUUCAGUGGGGCUGGUGAGUGUGGGCCCAGCCCCCUAGGCCAAGUGGAAAGGGCCUUGCAGGGAGCGGCCUCCACACCUCACAGCCGGGUAAUGUUCCUCCGGCCUCAUGAGGAGCCUCUUCAGUGGGGCUGGUGAGUGUGGGCCCUGCCCCUAGGCCAGGUGGAGAGGACCUUGCAGGGAGUGGCCUUCACACACACAGCCAGGCGAUGUUCCUCCGGCCUCAUGAGGAGCCUCUUCAGUAGGGCUGGUGAGUUUGGGCCUCGCCCCCUAGGCCAAGUAGAAAGGGCCUUGCAGGGAGCGGCCUCCACACCUCACAGCCGGGUAAUGUUCCUCCGGCCUCAUGAGGAGCCUCUUCAGUGGGGCUGGUGAGUGUGGGCCCAGCCCCUAGGCCAGGUGGAAAGGGCCUUGCAGGGAGCGGCCUCCAUGCCCCACAGCCGGGCGAUGUUCCUCCGGCCUCAUGAGGAGCCUCUUCAGUGGGGCUGGUGAGUGUGGGCCCAGCCCCUAGGCCAAGUGGAAAGGGCCUUGCAGGGAGCGGCCUCCACACCUCACAGCCGGGUAAUGUUCCUCCGGCCUCAUGAGGAGCCUCUUCAGUGGGGCUGGUGAGUGUGGGCCCUGCCCCCUAGGCCAAGUGGAAAGGGCCUUGCAGGGAGCGGCCUCCAUGCCCCACAGCCGGGCGAUGUUCCUCCGGCCUCAUGAGGAGCCUCUUCAGUGGGGCUGGUGAGUGUGGGCCCUGCCCCUUAGGCUAGGUAGAAAGGGCCUUGUAGGGAGAGGCCUCCACACCUCGCAGCUGGGCGAUGUUCCUAUAGGUGGAGCGCUACAACUCAAACUUUUGACUAGGACUGCUGUGAACAUUUUUUGAUCUUGAUUCAGGAGAUUAAGAAGGCAAAAGGAAUUGAAACCGUUACUUUAUUUUAUCUGGGUUUGGGAAUUAAUCCAAUACAAAAAUGUUUCCCUGUACCCUGCACAUCAACACCUCUUCAUAUUGUGUUAAAUAAUAUUUCCAAUUUCGGAAUUGAAAAGUCUUUGAUUUUGAUUUUAAAAAAUAAAAGCAAGAAAGACAAUUUUCUACCUGUGAUCCCUUGGGAGAUGUUUGUUGAUGGUGCCACUUUCAAUUACAACUAGGUAGAAAUUAUGGGAGGAACAAGAACAUCUUAUUAUAGGGAAAGGGAAGAGCAUAGACACCCCCCCCCCCAAGAAAAACUGGCUAUGGGAGGCUCAGGAGAAUCUCCAGAAAAGCACACAGUGGAGGAGAAUUUCCCGUCUCCCACUCAGUGAAGAAUUCGAACUCAGGCUGCAGAGUCUACCAAAAUCUUUAAUGCUCAGAUCAGUGUACAUGGGCAAAAUGCCAUUCAAAGGCACAGCAGGUGCUACACAUAGCAAAGCAAGCAAAGACAUUGAUCCAGGAACGACAUAUACCCCAACUUAAGAGCUAACUCUUCUUAAGCCCCCUCCCCAAUAAAAUAUUUGAAGGGGCUGGGACCCCCCCCAAAAAAGUUGAUGGGUAUUGCCAUUCAAAUGGGGGGGGGUGCGCCAUGUCAUGUAAUUGAUUAUGGAGGGUGGUGCUUACUGCCCCCCCCCCAAUAUUUUAUUCAAGUUGGUACCCCAGCAACCCUGUUAUUAGGGACUGGGGUGGGCACUAAUACACAUUUGUAUCCACUGUAUUAAUGGGCUGAGGGACUUUUUUAUGUGUCCUUAUGACCAACAGGUGGUGGAAGGAGCGAGCCAGAUUCUAGUGAGAGAGACUGUCCCUGGCUAUAGUACUGGUUUUAGCCCUCUCACUGGUCAGAGGUGAAGGAGCUAAUGAGCAGAGGGAUUAGGAGGGUGAAAUAUACUCGGAGUCAAGAAGUGAUUUCACGCUCUUUAUUGCAGCUUGAAAAACAGCAAAUGCAUUUCCCCUCAAACCUCAGGCUUAUUUACAUUAUUUACACAAUGAAUCCCAUCUGAUUGGUUGAUUAUGUUUCCCUCCUGGAGCCUGAUUGGGCUGCUACUGCAGGCCAAUCAGUUGUUGCAUCCUAGGACCCUACCAGCCUAAUAGGCUGAUUAACUUCUUCCUGGGAUAUGAUUGGGCUGCUCCUGCAGGCCAAUCCAGUUGUUGCAUUCUAGGAUCCUACCUGCCUAUUGUUCUAGGAUCCAAGCUUAGUACAUAACAGAGAGGGAGGCUGGGGGAAUAGGUUUAAAAUGGAAACUAAAACCAGCUUAGGUUAGAUUUCUUUUCAAAACUAUAACUAGUAUUUUUUUUUAAGUAAACAAAGGAAUUGUAAGGCACAGAAAAAUUAUUAUUUACAACUUUAAAAAGAGAUACAAGGGAAAACUAAGAAAUGAAAGAAUGUGAGGGGCGAAAUCAAGUUUAUUUACCUUUCAGCCAACAAGUCUUUGGAUGUGAAAAGGAGCACAGGAAAUGACGGUAGGUGGAUAUGAAGUCUGCUUCAAGCAGAUUGAAGAAUAAAUACAGAAAAUAGAAGGCUGGGAUUUCUGUUGCCAAAGUUGUUGUUUGUUUGUUUGUUUGUUUGUUUGUUUUCUAUACUGCCCUAUACUGGAAGGUCUCAGGGCUGUUCACAUAAAAUAUCAAAUGCACAAAAUCAAAACAAUAACAACCCAAUAACCCCACCCCCAAAAAAGAGCCAGCAUUUAAAAAAGGGUAUAGGAUGUAGAUCAGGUCAGGCAAAGGCCUUGUUAAAAAGAGACGUUUUUUACCUGGUGCCUAAAGUAUAUAGUGAAGGCGCCAGGCAAACCUCACUGGGGAGAGCAUUCCACAGGUGGGGAGCCACUGCAGAGAAGGCCCUUUCUUGUGUUGCCACCCUCUGGACCUCACAUGGGUGAGGCACACAAAGAAGGGCCUCAGAAGAUGAUCUCAGGCUCCGGGUAGGUUCAUAUGGGAGGAGGCUUUCCUUGAAGUAUUGUGGUCCUGAGCUGUUUAAGGCUUUAUAGGUCAACACCAGCACUUUGAAUUGGUCCCAUAAAUUAAUUGGUAGCCAGUGCAGUUGGACCAGGAUUGAUGUAAUAUGCUCAAACCGUCUUGCUGCAGUGAGCAACCUGGCCACUGUAUUCUGCACCAGCUGAAGUUUCCGAACCUUCUUCAAAGGCAGCCCUAUGCAUAAUGCAUUGCAGUAAUCUAACCUUGAGGUUACCAGAGCAUAGACAACAGUAGUUAGGCUAUCCCUGUCCAGAUAGAGGUGUAGCUGGGCCACCAGCCGAAGCUGACGGAAGGCACUCUGGGCCACUGAGGUGAUCUAAGCCUCAAGCAACAGCAAAGGAUCCAGGAGUACCCCCAAGCUACAAACCUACUCCUUAAGGGGCAGUGUAACCCCAUCCAGAGCAGGCGACCUCCCAGGGUUAAACAACAUGGGGGAUAGAAUUGAGCCCUGCGGAACCCCUGUUGGAGGUUCCACAGGGCUGAAAAGUAACACCCUCCGGGAGCGACCAUCCAAGUAGGACUGGAACCACCGCAAAUUGGUGCCACUUACUCCUAGUUCAGAGAGUUGCUCCAGAAGGAUACUGUGGUCGAUGGCAUCGAAAGCCGCUGAGAGGUCGAGAAGAAUUAACAGGGACAUGUUUCCCUUGUCUCUCUCUUGACAGGUCAUCACACAGGGUGACCAAGGCAGUUUCUGUGCCAAAACCAGGCCUAAACCCUGGUUGAAAUGGAUCCAGAAAAUCAGCUUCUUCCAAGAACACUUGGAUCUGGUCUGCGACCAUUCGCUCCAGAACUUCACUCCAGAAGUUAGAAAAACCAAGAUUGGGAAGAUUUUAACAUAGGUAAGACUUAGAAGUGAGAAGGGUAGGUGGAUCCAGGGGGGAAGAAGGCUGUGCAUGUGAUAAAGAGCAAAGCAGAGGGGGAGAAGACAACAUAGUUCCUUUUAAUUUCAUGUUAUCUCAGGUUGCCUUGUUGACAAAAACGCUUUGCAGCCAUUUUGUGAUAGGUUCUUGGGGACUAUAGAUAAGCUCCUUUGCUAAUGGGCAGAACUUCAUUUUAUUUAUAAUGUGGCUUCCAAGGAAUAGAAUAACAAACCCUCUUGAGCAGCUGGCUUAAAAGUGGUGGCAUUUGGCAUGUGAAGCUAGGAAGAGGCAUUAAUAUUAUUGUUAUUGUUAUUAUUAAUACCCCACCCUUUUCCCUGAUGGGAAUCAAGGCAACUGACAAGCCACUUCAGAUUGGUGAAGUUAGAACAGAAUGAAAGCACAAAAAGAGAAAUAACUAUUGAAAAGAAAAGCUUUGGAAGUCACUAGGAUCAAGAAUUGGUUCUGGGGCAAGCAAGAAAAGGAGGAAAUAACUGAGAAAGCCAAAAGAAGCAGCAGCAAAAAGCAACCAACUAAAGGUGAGAGUAUUAUACCUAAUUGUAGUUACUGGGCAACUGCAGAAGAGGCUUACCAAAAUAUUGUUGAGUUUUUAUUCCUUCAGAUGUGUAUAAAUCCAGAAGGUUCCAAGCAUGGUUUGGAUCCUCACCAGUACUUCUGCUCCCAAGGUAAUACAUUUAGAAGAGCCAUUUUAAAAUCUGAUGCCUCAAACUGCUUCCUUUAUCUUAUAACAGUUGCCUUGCUGAUUUCAGUGUGAAAAAAACAAAUAAUGCAUUUUGAGGAUGAACCUACUGAUAGCAAUGGUAGAGGCGGCUUGGUAGAGGCAUUAGAGUGAGUAUCUAGAUUCUAGAGGUUUUCACCAUAUUUUCGGCCAUUUGUAAGCAAAACUACAAACAUGUAAAGUCCAGCAAACGUUUAAGCACCUACAAAUUCAUAAUUAGUAGGAAUGAGCCGUGACCAUUUUUUCCUGUACAUAAAGGGCAGAAAACUUUGUCUGCUAAUGGUAAGGCUGAAAUAUUUGAAACUCUCUGGCCAUUUUCACUCAUACAUAAGAGGGUGGCUGAACGUUCCACUAAUGACCGGAGGGGUGUGGUGGGGCUCACAAGAUAAGGCUGAAAUGACUGAGAAGUUAUUGAAAGCUUAGGAAUCCUGACUGGCCAUUUUCACUCGUAAAUAAGAGGGUGGCUGAUUGUUCCACUAAUGACCAAAUGGGGCACACAAAAUAAUAACAACCCACAUUUGUGAAACAUUUUGGAAUAGAGAUCUGUACCUCUAUAUCCUGUAGAUAAAGGAGGAAUGUAGCUCCCAAUUUUCUUUGCCUGGGGUGCAAAUAUUUGAAACUCUCUGGCCAUUUUCACUCAUACAUAAGAUGGUGGCUGAACGUUCCACUAAUGACCAGCGAGGUGUGGUGGGGCACACAAGAUAAGGCAGAAUUGACUGAGAAGUUAUUGAAAGCUUAGGAAUCCUGACUGGCCAUUUUCACUCCUAAAUAAGAGGGUGUCUGAUUGUUCCACUAAUGACCAGAUGGGGCACGCAAAAUCACAACAACCCACAUUUAUGAAACAUUUUGGAAUAGAGAUCUGUACCCCUAUAUCCUGUAGAUAAAGGAGGCAUGUAGCUCCCAAUUUUUUUUGCCUGGGGUGCAAAUAUUUGAAACUCUCUGGCCAUUUUCACUCAUACAUAAGAGGGUGGCUGAACGUUCCACUAAUGACCAGAGGGGUGUGGUGGGGCUCACAAGAUAAGGCCGAAUUGACAGAAGUUAUUGAAAGCUUAGGAAUCCUGACUGGCCAUUUUCACUCGUAAAUAAGAGGGUGGCUUAUUGUUCCACUAAUGACCAGAUGGGGCACACAAAAUCACAACAACCCACAUUUGUGAAACAUUUUGGAAUAGAGAUCUGUACCCCUAUAUCCUGUAGAUAAAGGAGGCAUGUAGCUCCCAAUUUUCUUUGCCUGGGGUGCAAAUAAUUGAAACUCUCUGGCCAUUUUCACUCAUACAUAAGAGGGUGGCUGAACAUUCCACUAAUGACCAGAGAGGUGUGGUGGGGCACACAAGAUUUUUUUUUUAAAAAAAAAUCUUUAUUACUUUUAAAACUUACAAGAAAAGAAAAAGGAAGAAAAUGGGCGAAAGAAAAAGACAAAAUAGAACAGAGGAAAAAAAGAGAGAGAAAAGAAAAAACAAUACAAUAAACAAUACAAAACACAACCUUAACACAUUAACCUAAACAAAGCAAAAGAACAACAAUUUAAAAACAUAUACCAUACCAUUUCAUUACUCUAUCUUUCAUUCCCUUAUUUCAUCGACCUCCUCUCACCUCCCUUUUGUAUUCCACUUCUAUUACUUGUUUCAGCAAUUCCUUUCCAUCUUUCUCUAUUUUUAUCAUUAUGAAUAUCUUAACAUAUUUUAUACCUUACUUUCCAUUAAUACUGAAAUACUUAUUUAUACCUAACUCCUUAUAACAUUUCUGCUAAAGCCAUAAAAUUUCAUUCCAACAAUUUUCUAACACUCAUUAAAUUUACAAUAUUUCUAUAUAUAAACUUUAAACUUUCCCAAUCUUCUACCACCAUCUCUUCUCCCUGGUCUCGGAUUCUGCCAGUCAUUUCCGUCCAUUCCAUAUAGUUCAUCAACCUGGAGAUCUUCUGUCCGAAGCUCUUAAAUCUUUUCCAAGUCCCGUCUGCAGUUUUUCUUCAUAUUCUUUGAUACUGAGGGUGCUGAAGCGCAAGUCUUGGGGGGGGGGGCCCAAUCCAACCAUGCCCCUAUUCCCUCUCGACAGACCAACCAACUCUCCACAGCUAAAACCAGUGUCCAUACAAUGUCCCAAAUCAUGUUUCAAGGCUCCUCCAGAUCCAAAGGCCCCCACAACUCCAAUCACCUCCUGACCCAGAUUCAGGACCCAAAGGUCAGUAAAUCUCUGCUUGAAAGAGUCUAUCCAACCUUCCUUCUUCAAUCCAAGCAGGGCUCCAGUCUUCAAAUUCUGACUUUUUCUAUAUUCAUUCAUAAAAGGCCUCCACUUAUAAUCCUCAGUUUGCCUCUGUAAAACUGGGGCUUCCACUUGUAUUAUUUUAGGUUUAGCAAGACCAAUAUUCUCCUUCGUCUUCUCCCCAGUUUGUCCUAUCAAGAUAGGUUCCUGUGUCAAAUCCUAAACAAUUUCUGUAUUAAUGGUCACUUUUUGUUCCAAAUUAGUCACUUUUUGUCCCAAGUUCUCAAGUUUGGUAUUCAUAGCGUCCGUCUUCUUGUGGAGCUGUUCCAACGAAUAGCUUAUCUUUCAUAAUACAGUCACUAAGGCUCCUGUCAACAUUCUCUCCAAGGUCAAACUCUAUUUCACACAGUUCUUAUCUUGCGACUGGAAGAACCCCAGCUCCACUCUUGUAACAGUUUCAAAAGCUCCCUCUAGAGGGAAACAGUCUCCACUUGUAUCAAUCCUUUCAAACACAAUUUAAACUAUAGUUUCUUUUCCUACUUUUUAAACGCAGAUGAGUACAAUGGAAACAAUAUAUUUCUCUUAUUGCUAGCUGUCAAAAAAGUCACUCUUUCUGGCAGCCCAUUUCCAGGUUCAGAGCAGUGGUAAUUUGGUUUUUCACUCUCUCCUGCAGGCUCGCUAGGUCCAAAAUUUCCCCCCUCUUCUCCUGCUUCCAAGGGGGGUUUAAUAGUUUUAACCGAUGGAGAUUUACAAAAAUAAACUUUACAAAAAUAAACUUUCCAAGGCUUUAACUUGCAACUUCUUUGCUUCAAUCUGUUUACAAAAAAGGGAAGGCGGACUUCCUGUUUAGAACCUUCCCGUUUCGAUGCCAAAUUAAUGAAUUUAAGGAUCUAAUUUUCCGUUCUACUCACGGGUCAUUGUUUAAAAUCCAAUUGUCCACAAGAAAAAGUCAGCGCUCUCUGGCAACAGCGAUGCGGCUUCACUCCGUGAAAGAAGCAGUCAAUUUGAAGCACCGCGCCACUCACCCCACUUCGCUCCAGAUCCCCAAAUCAGGGUUUCCCCACGAGUAGGGGAGGCGCAAAGGGUGCCAGCCGAAUCCCAAGUUCACAGGCUUCUCCCGCCUGUGAUUUCAGUGGGUCUCCGCCUUCGCCGUGGCAGUCAGACCCUAAUUUCCACGGAGCAAAUUCCUCCCGAUCGGAGGAACUCCGCCAUUGCCUGGAGGCGCCAACCCGGAAGUUUGGGGUCACACAAGAUAAGGCUGAAUUGACUGAGAAGUUAUUGAAAGCUUAGGAAUCCUGACUGGCCAUUUUCACUCGUAAAUAAGAGGGUGGCUGAAAGUUCCACUAAUGACCAGAUGGGGCACGCAAAAUAAUAACAACCCACAUUUGUGAAACAUUUUGGAAUAGAGAUAUGUACCCCUAUAUCCUGUAGAUAACGAGGCAUGUAGCUCCCAAUUUUCUUUGCCUAGGGGUGCAAAUAGGGCUGUUUAAUGCGGGAAACACGAUCCAUUAACGCUGAGACUUUAUUAGAAAUUUAAUUUGACCAAAAUUGUGUUACUGGCUUUUUGGUGAAAAACUUGCAUGAUAGGGUAGAUAGCUACUGGGUUUCUUGAAUUUCAGAGAGUUGGACUAGGUGACACCAAAGUCCCUUCCAACCCUGCGAAUCUGUGGAUGUAUGGAAGGAAAUGUGUCUGCAAGGAUUGGAGUGGGUAUUUAGGGGUUUCCACCAUUUUGUCAGCCAUUUGUAAGCAAAACUACAAACAUGUAAAGUCCAGCAAACGUUUAAGCACCUACAAAUUCAUAAUUAGUAGGAAUGAGCCUUGACCAUUUUCCCCUGUACAUAAAGGGCAGAAAACUUUGUCUGCUAAUGGUAAGGCUGAAAUAUUUGAAACUCUGGCCAUUUUCACUCAUACAUAAGAAGGUGGCUGAACGUUCCACUAAUGACCAGAGGGGUGUGGUGGGGCUCACAAGAUAAGGCUGAAAUGACUGAGAAGUUAUUGAAAGCUUAGGAAUCCUGACUGGCCAUUUUCACUCGUACAUAAGAGGGUGGCUGAUUGUUCCACUAAUGACCAAAUGGGGCACACAAAAUAAUAACAACCCACAUUUGUGAAACAUUUUGGAAUAGAGAUCUGUACCCCUAUAUCCUGUAGAUAAAGGAGGCAUGUAGCUCCCAAUUUUCUUUGCCUGGGGUGCAAAUAUUUGAAACUCUCUGGCCAUUUUCACUCAUACAUAAGAGGGUGGCUGAACGUUCCACUAAUGACCAGAGGGGUGUGGUGGGGCACACAAGAUAAGGCCGAAUUGACUGAGAAGUUAUUGAAAGCUUAGGAAUCCUGACUGGCCAUUUUCACUCAUACAUAAGAGGGUGGCUGAUUGUUCCACUAAUGACCAGAUGGGGUGUGGUGGGGCUCACCAGAUAAGGCUGAAAUGACUGAGAAGUUAUUGAAAGCUUAGGAAUCCUGACUGGCCAUUUUCACUCGUAAAUAAGAGGGUGGCUGAACGUUCCACUAAUGACCAGAUGGGGCACGCAAAAUAAUAACAACCCACAUUUGUGAAACAUUUUGGAAUAGAGAUCUGUACCUCUAUAUCCUGUAGAUAAAGGAGGCAUGUAGCUCCCAAUUUUCUUUGCCUGGGGUGCAAAUAUUUGAAACUCUCUGGCCAUUUUCACUCAUACAUAAGAGGGUGGCUGAACGUUCCACUAAUGACCGGCGAGGUGUGGUGGGGCACACAAGAUAAGGCAGAAUUGACUGAGAAGUUAUUGAAAGCUUAGGAAUCCUGACUGGUCAUUUUCACUCGUAAAUAAGAGGGUGGCUGAACGUUCCACUAAUGACCAGGGGGGUUGGUGGGGUGGCUCACAAGAUAAGGCUGAAAUGACUGAGAAGUUAUUGAAAGCUUAGGAAUCCUGACUGGCCAUUUUCACUCGUAAAUAAGAGGGUGGCUGAACGUUCCACUAAUGACCAGAUGGGGCACGCAAAAUAAUAACAACCCACAUUUGUGAAACAUUUUGGAAUAGAGAUCUGUACCCCUAUAUCCUGUAGAUAAAGGAGGCAUGUAGCUCCCAAUUUUCUUUGCCUGGGGUGCAAAUAGGGCUGUUUAAUGCGGGAAACACGAUCCAUUAACGCUGAGACUUUAUUAGAAAUUUAAUUUGACCAAAAUUGUGUUACUGGCUUUUUGGUGAAAAACUUGCAUGAUAGGGUAGAUAGCUACUGGUUUUCUUGAAUUUCAGAGAGUUGGACUAGGUGACACCAAAGUCCCUUCCAACCCUGCGAAUAUGUGGAUGUAUGGAAGGAAAUGUGUCUGCAAGGAUUGGAGUGGGUAUUUAGGGGUUUCCACCAUUUUGUC